AAAAACGAUUCUGGUUAUUGAACCACAACCCCAGUAAUUGUAACAAAAUUAACGCCUGAAACAAUGGCAGAAUUUACAGAAACCUCAUACAGGCUCUAGUGCUCCGGUGUCAGUCUGUUCCAAUGCCGUUUGACAGGGCAGGUGUUUCUGAUGGAGGGGGAGGUGCUGUACAAGGCUGUCCAAUGGGACGAGAAUCUCCUGCAUUCUACAGGCCGGACUCAUGCAGGAGCCCUGUUCAGACCCUCAGGGGUCUGUCCGUCAGCUACACCUCCCACACUGUGACAUUCCCUCUGGAGAUGGUCUUGGUUCCCUGUCUGUGGCCCAUGUGACUGGUGACAGUGUGGAGGUUUUAUCGCCGCUGAGGAUGACUGACACACACACACAGUGGUAAACACCAGCAACCUCUCCUUAUGGGGCCUUGUCAGAAAGUACAUACGGGAAGCCCUGCUCUCGAUCAAGGGGCAGGUGUUGCCUUUCCGAUCACUCCAAUCAGUUAUCAAUGUGAUCGUCCUGCCAUCAUGUGCUACUUGAACAGGUAAAAAAAUCCCUUCUGAUGAUUGGAUAACUGUUUUUCUACCACAGGCAUCCAGGUGUGCAUUGAGUUUUCAGUGUGAGUACGCUCGUUGAUAAUCACUUCUUAUUCUGUUGCAGGUUGAAGCGGCAACAGACAGGGAACACUUGCGUACAGCUCUGUUCGGACUGCAUUCUCACUCGAGGGGAAACAUACAGUCUGAAGACUGAAGAGGAUAACCGCCAAGGUAGACUCUGACAGGUGUUGCAUGCUAAUAAUGUCACAUCUUGAUCACAGUAACAGCUGUACGCUGAUGCUACAUACUGGAUAUUCCAUGACAAUAAUUACCUCAUGUUAAGUGCACUUUUCUAAAUGGUCACUCAUUCUGUAAGGUGCGUAGAUAUGCAUGCGCAGCUAUGGAAGAUGACUAAAUAGUCAAGUUCAAAUCAGCUGCAUCUAUUACCUGCCUCUAUGUAGUCUCUAUAGACAGACGGGUUGCCUCACACGAUGUACCAAUGUUCCAACAUCCACGUCUGUACAAGUACCUGCGUUAAUAGGGACAGAGAGGAGGGGUCGGAAAUGGGAUGUGCGUUAUUGCCUUAUCUGGUGACGUCAACGCCGUAUCUGCUUGUUUCCCUCGCUUUAAACAUCCUCGCCAGACACAGAGUACUAGCUAGCUAGCGAGAUGGAGAACGCAGAGGUUAUUUUUAAUGAGUGCAAGUGUCAAGUUUGCGUCAUCUACCUUCACUAAAACCACUGCAAAGGUUUUUCCUGCAAACUUUGGUUUUGAAUCUCAAUGUUCUGGCAUGUCUGCUUUCAGGGUACGGAA
rnacentral:lncRNA from 13 species